GACGAACGCUGGCGGCGUGCUUAACACGUGCAAGUCGAACGGAAAGGCCCUGCUUUUGUGGGGUGCUCGAGUGGCGAACGGGUGAGUAACACGUGAGUAACCUGCCCUUGACUUUGGGAUAACUUCAGGAAACUGGGGCUAAUACCGGAUAGGAGCUCCUGCUGCAUGGUGGGGGUUGGAAAGUUUCGGCGGUUGGGGAUGGACUCGCGGCUUAUCAGCUUGUUGGUGGGGUAGUGGCUUACCAAGGCUUUGACGGGUAGCCGGCCUGAGAGGGUGACCGGCCACAUUGGGACUGAGAUACGGCCCAGACUCCUACGGGAGGCAGCAGUGGGGAAUAUUGCACAAUGGGCGGAAGCCUGAUGCAGCAACGCCGCGUGCGGGAUGACGGCCUUCGGGUAGUAAACCGCUUUCGCCUGUGACGAAGCGUGAGUGACGGUAAUGGGUAAAGAAGCACCGGCUAACUACGUG
rnacentral:rRNA from 1 species